UUCUGGGACUCUCAUCCAGAGAGCUUCAGAGUAGGGUAAUGGGCAGACUGUCUGCAGAUACAGUAGAGGAGGCUGCAGAGUGUGGGAGAAGGCCCUUCUGGGCUCCCAUAUCUUGUACGGAAGAGACUGGAGAAGAAUGAGAAAUGCCUAGACCACCUCCAAACCAGAAGCGAGGAGGUGUAGUGCAAAUUUGGGACAGGACAGUUGCAAAGCAUGGUGAGGCCUCAGCAGUACAGUGUCUCAAUCUUACCAAGACGACAAUCGACAAUCGUGGUUAACCAUCACAACUUCCCAGAAACUGACGAAAGGAAACACCUCUAAGCUUUUCUCCUCUUGACGACCAUCAGAGCAGCAGAAGACAGCACCUGGGAAAACAACAUUGGUGGCUCUCUUUGCUCCCACCCCUCCCACUCAAAGCAUGCUGCCCAUCUCCCUUCAGCAGCAGGAUGUGACCUGGCAGAAGACAGCCUUGCCCUGGGCUUGGGGAGCAGCAGAGGAGCCCAACCCUGGAGUUCUCUCCUUAAAUACAAGCAGAAAUCUUGGCUGGAGAGCCUCCCUUGUUCCACUUAUGCCGUCCUCUGUCUGUAAAUUAAACCCAACAAGACCCCAGUGAACCCUAACUAUGACACCUGAUGGGCAAAAGGGAGGGCGACCUCUUUAUAAACCUCUGAUUGUACCCUGGUUUGCCGCCUCCACUCAGUGCUGGUGCCUAGACGGCUCGUCGUGGGGGUGGCUGUUUGAUCUGUGGGAAAAGCAUCAACUCCAUAGUCAGGGUUUUCAGCAAUGAAAGACAAGCGCUUAUAGCCUUGAUUCAGCUCGAAUGUGUCAGUCUCUUCCCUGUCUUGUAGUUCAUCGUCUCCAUUUGUCUGAAGUCACAGUGAUAGUCUUACUGGGUACAGGUUCUAUGGCAAAUGCUGGGAAGAGUUUAAGUGAUGGGAAAGUGCCAGUGUUUGGACAACUUCAUCACUACGGCCUCUUGGGGCACCACAACAAGGGCACGUUUUAAGAACUGUGUCACAGGAGGAAGGGCGGGGGAUGGUUCAGUUGGUAAAGGGCUCGCUUCGCAAGCAGGAGGACCUGAGUUUGAUAACUGGCACCCAUGUAAAAAGCCAGGUGCAGCAGUGUGCAUGUGUAAUCCCAGUACUUCAGGGGAGAAGCUGGGAGGAUGCUGGGGGAUGCUGGGGCUCACUGGCCAGCCCUUCUGUCAGAAUCCAUGGGCUCCAGGUCCAUGGAGAAACCCUGUCUCAAUACAUAAGGUGGAGCACAGUUGAGAUUGAGGAAGACACUUAACAUCAACCUAUAGCAUCCCCUUGUACAAACACACAUGUACACACACACAAAACAUGUAUGCAUACACUUAUAGCCAGGUGUGGUGGUGAACCCUUGUAAUCCUGGUGCCAUGAGAGAGGGACAGAAGGAUCCCUAGGAUUUGCUGGCCAGCCAGCCCAUCCUAAUCUGCAAACUCCAGGUGGCAGUGAGACACUGUCUAAAAAAAUAAAAAUAAGCCGGGCGGUGGUGGCGCACGCCUUUAAUCCCAGCACUCGGGAGGCAGAGCCAGGCGGAUCUCUGUGAGUUCGAGGCCAGCCUGGGCUACCAAGUGAGUCCCAGGAAAGGCGCAAAGCUACACAGAGAA